GAUGAAGAACGCAGUGAAAUGCGAUACUUGGUGUGAAUUGCAGAAUCCCGUGAACCAUCGAGUCUUUGAACGCAAGUUGCGCCUCAAGCCAUUAGGUUGAGGGCACGUCUGCCUGGGCGUCACAUAUCGUUGCCUGAUGCCAGUUUCCUCGUGAUGGGUGACUGUGCAGGGCGAAUGAUGGCUUCCCGUGAGCAUUGUUGCCUCAUGGUUGGUUGAAAAUUGAGUCCUUGGUAGGGAGCGCCGUGAUAGAUGGUGGUUGAGUGACGAACGGACCCAAUCAUGUGAGACCCCUACCGAAUUUGGCCUUCAUGACCCGCAUGCGUCUUUGGAACGCUCAUGACGAGACCUCAGGUCAGGCGGGGCUACCCGCUGAGUUUAAGCAUAUCAAUAAGCGGAGGA
rnacentral:misc_RNA from 1 species